rnacentral:lncRNA from 1 species
UAUCUUCAUCAUCGUUUAUGACCAAAACUUCUAUAUUACUUUACUAUUGGGGGGACUAAGGAUCAUGAAUGCUUUCUGAAUAUCAGCUGUUUGUUUUCAACAUGGAAAAAGUUUAGUUUUAUGUAUAAUGUUGUUUUGAGUAGAGGUAGAGAAACAAGCAAACAAAAAGAUAUACUUUCAUCUUUUGUGUUAUGUCUUAAAUAUCCAUCUCAAUCAAUUCAUGACAGGUUUUUAGAUAUGUAAUUUUAUAGAGACAUGACCUUGCUUUGUUGCCCAGGCUGUUUUUACAUUAUUUAAAACUCAAUGUUUUGAAUGUCUCUAAGAAAGCCAUACUUUUUUGUUAAUAUAUCAAUAUUACAAAAGAUAUAUGCAUGCAUAUACAUACAUAUAUACACACAUAUAAUCACAAAAAGAUGUGUGUAUGUAUAGUGUGUAUAUGUGUGUGUAUAUAUAUAUAUAUAGUAUAUACACAUGCAUUAAAAUGUAUAUGUAUUUUAAUUAUACCAUGGAAGAAAAGAAGUAAAGGGAAAAUACAUACGUAUUCAUUAAACAUGCAUACUUAGAACAUAUUAUGGUCUUGUCUUUAUUGUUAGAUUAAUUUUUAUGUAUGACUGUGUCUCACUUUCAGUUCUGAAAACCUGGAAUUAACUGAUUAACAAUGCCAAUGCAAAUAUAUGUUUCUUACUGUACAAUUAUAGCUUAAAAUUAGAAGUCCCAUUUGUUAUUUUUAAAUGCAGAAAUUAGAGUGUGCCAGAAAAGUCAUUAAAUAUUAAUUCGAUUAAAACAGAGAUCAGUAAAGAAGAAUUUUCUUAUAUCACAG